UACGAGGGGGGCAAGCGUUGUUCGGAUUUAUUGGGCGUAAAGGGUGCGUAGGCGGUUUGAUAAGUCUGGUGUGAAAUCUAUGGGCUCAACCCAUAGUCUGCACUAGAAACUGCCGUGCUUGAGGACUGGAGAGGAGACUGGAAUUUACGGUGUAGCGGUGAAAUGCGUAGAUAUCGUAAGGAAGACCAGUGGCGAAGGCGGGUCUCUGGACAGUUCCUGACGCUGAGGCACGAAGGCCAGGGGAGCAAACGGG
rnacentral:rRNA from 1 species